AAGAUUGUUAAGGAAUCUUUGCUGUCUGACCAUUCAGGAGCCACUCUGGGAGUCACAACUGCACCACCCAAGGCUUCCACUGCUGGGACCAAAGCCCCUUGGCAGCAGGAGGCUCCAGUGAACCCCCAUGUGCCCAGCUGGGUUCCCACCACACACCCCACUCACUCACUCACUCAGAUUCUCGUGCCGUCUCAGUCCCAGGUUUCCUGCAGAUGUCUGGUUCUUCUAAGUCAUUUAAUCGAGGUGCAGUCACACAGCAACAGCCUGAGUUGGUGCCUCCAGGGUGCCUGCAAUGGCCUUGCUCAGCUGCAUGUAAGAGCAAAGCAAUCUCCCUCUCUGUUCCCAAGAAUUGGGUUCCCGUUACCUACUCUAGGAGAGGGAGGACAUUGGCAGGAAUAAGGAGGUGGUGGUCCAAGGGAAUUUUCCUAGCUCUUAUCUUCAGGUGUGUUUCCCAGGUUGCUCGUGGCAGAAGACCCUGCAGGACAAGGGGCCAUUGACUGAAGUGCAGCUCACACGAGGAAUGCUUUUGCCUGGCUAGCACAUAGCAAGAGGACAGAAAGAGUUCCCAAGGCCUCAUCUGACCCAAUGUGCAUUAAAAAAGACAAUAUAUCUGAUGCCUUCAGUAAGU